rnacentral:rRNA from 1 species
UGCCAGCAGCCGCGGUAAUACGUAGGGUGCGAGCGUUAAUCGGAAUUACUGGGCGUAAAGCGUGCGCAGGCGGUUUUAUAAGUCAGAUGUGAAAUCCCCGAGCUCAACUUGGGAACUGCGUUUGAAACUGUAAGACUAGAGUGUGUCAGAGGGGGGUAGAAUUCCAUGUGUAGCAGUGAAAUGCGUAGAUAUAUGGAGGAAUACCAGUGGCGAAGGCGGCCCCCUGGACAAAGACUGACGCUCAUGCACGAAAGCGUGGGUAGCAAACAGGAUUAGAUA